rnacentral:lncRNA from 1 species
GUGCUCUUCUCUACGCAGUGUUCAUUGGGAUGUGUCUUUCAGAACACAAUUAUAAGGAGUUCUUUGAUGCGGUUUUCGUAUUUAAUGUCUUCCCCAUUUUGUUUUGAUUUUUACCUCUAUGACAAAGUCUUAUUUUCUUGCUAUCCUUGCCGCUUUUAGGAAAUGGUAGACUUGAAAACCAUUGUGAGCAACGUUGACAGCAAGUAGACAAACCUGCUUUCAGUAUCCUGCCAUUUGAGGUUUAAAGCCCUAAGAGAAGUAAUGUCUUAAAGAACUGUUCAUGUUUUCUGUAGAUGGAUAUGGUGUUAAGUUCGACAUUCCAAUGCAUGAGGUAUUUAUUUUUAUUCAUGUAAUAAAGUUGUAUGUAAAUAGUAUGUUUUUAUGUUUAUAAAAAUGCAUAAUAAUGAGUCUAGGAAUGCCCCUUAAGACACAUAAAUAUCUGUAAUGGAAGUGUUUGAAAUAUUGUGCACAUAGGUACUCCAUAGCAGUUCAAACUAUCUCUUUGUAUUCUGUAAUAUUAAGCAUGUAUGCCAUUCCUUUUUGAUAAAGGAGUACAUGAGAUGUGUAGGUUUAUGUCUAUUGAGGCCUUACUGAGAUCAGCAUUCUCUACAGCCACGUUAUAGUUAAUGUCACUGUGUUAUAUACCUUGUCCUGAUCUUAGCUUAAUAAAUGCAGUUUCCUCAGAG